CGGGACGGGUGAGUAACGCGUGGGUAACCUGCCUCAUACAGGGGGAGUAACAGUUGGAAACGGCGCUAAUACCGCAUAAGCGCACAGUACCGCAUGGGGAUAUUUGCUAAAGAUUCAUCGCUGAUAGAUAGGCAUGCGUUCCAUUAGGCAGUUGGCGGGGUAACGGCCCACCAAACCGACGAUGGAUAGGGGUUCUGAGAGGAAGGUCCCCCACAUUGGUACUGAGACACGGACCAA
rnacentral:rRNA from 1 species